ACCAUCAAUAUCUACUG
rnacentral:sRNA from 1 species